rnacentral:tRNA from 1 species
AGUAGAAUCAGCUAAUUAAGCUUUCGGGCCCAUACCCCGAGCAUGUUGGUUAAAGUCCUCCCUCUACUA